AAGUCGUAACAAGGUAUCCGUAGGUGAACCUGCGGAUGGAUCAUUACCAAAGGAAGAAUUCCUGACGUUGUGUGAAUUGUAUAGAGGACUGUGGUCGGCCGAAGCCGGCGGCACACGGACGUACUUGCUGUGACUACUGAAGUCUGUUGACUUGCAUAGUAAUGUAAGGACAACUUUUAGCAACGGAUCUCUUGGCUCUC
rnacentral:misc_RNA from 1 species